rnacentral:tRNA from 1 species
GCCUGUAUCGUCCAACGCGAGGACAGUCCCCCUGCUAAGGGGAAAGACGGCGGUUCAACUCCGCUGACAGGCU